CGGUGCCUCCGGCGUCCUAGAGCGGCCGCGGGCAGCCGGCGCUGGGCCGGGGUCCUGGGGCUAGUCUCGCGGGUCCUGAGCUCCGCCGCCUGCUUCCGGUCCUGGAAGAUGCCGGCGGUCUUUCGCUCGGGGACGCUGGCCCCGAGUCCUCUCGUCAGGUGGCGACGCCCAGGCGGGGCGGCUCCCUCUGAGGAGUCGGGUUCCGCCUGUUAGGCCCCCGCGGCCUCCGCCUCGAGCCUCCUCCAGCCGCGGAGACGAGCUUGUCUGCGGCGGGCCGGCGGGCGGAGGGCGCGCCUGUGGGCGCCGCGUGGGUAACGAGGCCCCGCGCCCAGGAGGGCCGGCUCCCGGGCCGGGCGCGCUCCGUCUCGUGUCGCCUGACUUCGGGCGGCCUGGUGAGCCUUCCCGAGUUUUCUGAACGUAAACGUGAAGUCGCUCAGUCGUGUCCGACUCUUUGCGACCCCAUGGACUGUAGCCUAUCAGGCUCCUCUGUCCAUGGGAUUUUCCAGGCAAGAGUACUGGAGUGGGUUGCCAUUGCCUUCCCCAAGGGAUCUUCCCAACCCAGGGAUCGAACUCGGGUCUCCCGCAUCGUAGACAAACGCUUUACUGUCUGAGCCGCCAGGGAAGUUUUCUAGACCCCUCAAUACCGGCUUCCAUACGUAGCGGGCUUUGUGAGAAAGAACUGAAAAAAUAGGUGUGGACGUGAGUCAGUGCUGUUUACUUCUUGACCGCUUCCUGUGGGCCUGGUAUUAUUAACCGCUAAACACGGAAACACUUCUUUUCAGUAAAUGCUUGGAGAUUGCGUGCUGUGCGGCAAUCAACACUGCAAGGCGCCUGCAAUGCUGCGAGGUGAGAACACUCACCCCUUGGUGAGGAAAACUGUCAGGGCCCGCCCUUCUGAAGCUUAUUUGAAGAUGAGCGGGUGGUUGGCAUAUGAAAGACGAAGUGUGUUAGUCACUCAGUCGUGUCCGGACUCUUUGCGACCCUGUGGACUGUAGCCCACAAGGCUCUUCUGCCCAUGGAGUGCUCCAGGCAAGAAUACUGGAGUGGGUCGCCAUGCCCUUCUCCAUAUGAAAGAGGAAACGGCAACAGAUUCUAAAUAAUUAAGCCCCAAAACACAUAAUUUUAAUUAUGGCGUUGAGGAUUUAUAGCAGGGAGAUUCCUAUGGGAAGGAGGUGGAGAUGGGGAAGAGACCUGAAAGGUGAGGAAGCAUCAGCCAGAUUCUGCUAGUAUUGCACGCCUAGGGAUGAGUAACUGUGAGGAUUGACGCUGGAAGGAUUUGCAAAGCACCAACAGUGGGCUUUACUCCUGUUUUCUCUUCCUCUUUUAUGUCUUUCCCCUCUCCAUGGUAAAAGGCGAUGAAGCGGGCAGCUGAUUUUGGUCCUGAUCGGUUUUUACUUAUACUAAAGCACCACGCAGUUUCUGUCUCCUGUUGGAUCAAAACAAGAUGUUUUUGAAAAGCCAAAUAAAACAGUAUCCUAUCUCUGUGGUUUCUCAUUGCCUUCAAAUGCCAUCAGCCAACGUGCCCACCUAGUUCUCAGUUAACCCUAUUCAGUUCCAGCUUUUGCUCUGCUGCAUCUUCCACUGUUUUCUUCAGUUGAUGUUGGCUUCUUUUGGAGUCGAGUCUUCAUCUCAAAUUUUUCUAAUCUAAAAGCUGUUCAAAGCAUUACACAUUAUGAAGCAGUUGUGUUCUUAUUGGGACACUGAUUCCUGUUAUCUGAAAUAUUUAACUCUAGAAAAUGUUUAUCCUUUAACCACUGUUUGCUAGCACAAUAGAACAAUACUAUUUUAUAUAGUUGCAAUUAUUGAUAUAGGCACACUUUAUGUGUAAGAAUUCUAUCCAAGUCCAACAUAUAAAUUGUUUACUGUGCCUGGAUUCCUUUUUUCCCCACUCCGGAACUUUUCACCUCGGAGUCCUCCAGCCCAGAGGCCAGCCAAGAGUUCCAGAACCAUUUGAGACUUCCAGGAUGGAGGCUGGCUCACCUCAUCCCACCAUCUACUUUCCUGCCUGACUGGAUGUUGUGUAAAGAGGCAGAUCACUGGCGAAACUCAAAGAGCACCCUACUUCCAGGCCCAUUCCCAACCAGCUCUUCUUAAGUGUAGUCCACUCCUGGCAUCUAUGGGAGCAUCACGGGGUUACUUCUUGUCACUCUUACUCUGAAUUACUGCAACCACUCCAGCCUUCAGCAGCCAACCCCUGAUCAGUUAGCAGCCAUCAGCAUCAAGGAGAGAUCUUCUACCAGAGAAGAUUACAGCUCACUGAAGGCUCAGGUGAUGUUUAGCAUUUUUUAGCCAUAAAAUAUUUUUCAAAUAAGUGGUCAUGUAUGGAUGUGAGAGUUGGACUAUAAAAAAAGCUGAGCACCGAAGAAUUGAUGCUUUUGAACUGUGGUGUUGGAGAAGACUCUUGAGAGUGCCUUGGACUGCAAGGAGAUCCAACCAGUCCAUCCUAAAGGAGAUCAGUCCUGGGUGUUCAUUGGAAGGACUGAUGUUGAAGCUGAAGGAGAAGGGGGACGACAGAGGAUGAGAUGGUUGGAUGGCAUCACCGACUCAAUGGAUGUGAGUUUGAGCAAGCUUCAGGAGUUGGUGAUGGACAGGGAGGCCUGGAGUGCUGUGGUUCACGGGGUCGCAGAGUCAGACACGACUGAGCAACUGAACUGAAGACAUGAUAUAAAAAUUUUAAAUCCUACAUAUAAAGUAGUAAAAAUAGCUGGUCUCAGAUUUUCUUAAUUGUUUUCAAAAAUGAGAAAACAGAACCUGACUACCAUGGACUGGAUAGGAAUGCAGGACUUCAUUUCUUAUCGUACUAUGUCUAUAUUAAUGGAAAAAUAACCUCAGCAUAUAGACUUCUGGAUAUUACAUUUUCAUAAACACAAGCACAAAUAAAGUCACACAGUGCCUGCCAUGAGUGCCUAUUUAUAGAUAACAAAAUUACUGUAUUCCUGUCUUCUGUUAUCUUUCUUCAUUUUCAAUUUUAAGUACAAAUAUUUUUGUUGCUGUGUUUUAAUCCAUACAUUCUCUUUGAAUUAACCGUCUUCCUCUAUCUUUAGCAGCAUCUCUCUCUCUCUUCCAAGGAUUUCCAAAUGUUUAUUAAAUUCUGCACACUCCACUCUGUCAUUAAGACAGUGGUUGCUAGGAGAACUGCUCGCUGACUUGUAACCCAACUGGAAUUGCACAACGCCACUUUCUG
ensembl:lncRNA